rnacentral:rRNA from 2 species
ACGCUGGCGGCGUGCCUAAUACAUGCAAGUCGAGCGGACUUGAUGGAGUGCUUGCACUCCUGAGAGUUAGCGGCGGACGGGUGAGUAACACGUAGGCAACCUGCCCUCAAGACUGGGAUAACUACCGGAAACGGUAGCUAAUACCGGAUAAUUUAUUUCACAGCAUUGUGGAAUAAUGAAAGACGGAGCAAUCUGUCACUUGGGGAUGGGCCUGCGGCGCAUUAGCUAGUUGGUGGGGUAAUGGCUCACCAAGGCGACGAUGCGUAGCCGACCUGAGAGGGUGAACGGCCACACUGGGACUGAGACACGGCCCAGACUCCUACGGGAGGCAGCAGUAGGGAAUCUUCCGCAAUGGGCGAAAGCCUGACGGAGCAACGCCGCGUGAGUGAUGAAGGUUUUCGGAUCGUAAAGCUCUGUUGCCAAGGAAGAACGUCUUCUAGAGUAACUGCUAGGAGAGUGACGGUACUUGAGAAGAAAGCCCCGGCUAACUACGUGCCAGCAGCCGCGGUAAUACGUAGGGGGCAAGCGUUGUCCGGAAUUAUUGGGCGUAAAGCGCGCGCAGGCGGUUCUUUAAGUCUGGUGUUUAAACCCGAGGCUCAACUUCGGGUCGCACUGGAAACUGGGGGACUUGAGUGCA